UCAUAUAAUCAAAUCAUAUUCUUUUCUAAAUGAAAAGUCUUACACUUCUCCUUUAGUCCAUUUCUAGCUAGCUCGGCACCAAUUUCCUUUUUCCUUUAAGAUCUCACCUUCUCUGCACCUCCUUGUCUGAUCAUAUAUCAAGAUAUGGUAUCGACAGCGGGCGAAAACGCCGCCGUUUACGACGUAAGGCUGUCGUCGGUGGUCCCGGCGAGCAUCACCGGAGAGGAUAAGGUCCAUGAACUCAGCAACAUGGACUUGAUGCUGAAGCUGCAUUAUGUCAAGGGAAUAUACUUCUUUAGAAGUGGAGCAGCACGAGGGCUAACCAUAAAUGACCUGAAAAAACCAAUGUUUGAAUGCUUAGCCCUCUACUCCACUUUGUCGGGGAGAAUUAGAAAGUCCGAAGAUGGAAGACCAUUCAUCAAAUGCAAUGAUAGCGGUGUUCGUAUUGCCGAGGCAAAGUGCAGUAAAACUUUGGAUGAAUGGCUGGCUUUCAACGAUGAUUCCCUCAACGAUCAGCUAAUUUACAGCCAGUUCCUUGCUCCUGAUGCCGGAUUCACUCCUCUUGUUUUUGUCCAGUUCACAUGGUUCAAAUGUGGAGGAAUCUCAAUUGGACUAAGUUGGGCUCAUAUUGUGGGAGAUGCAUUCUCAGCUUCACACUUCAUCAACAUGUGGGGCCAGAUCUUGACAGGUCAAGUGCCACCUCAUCAUCUCGACGCCCACAACCCCAAAAACCGAAAAAAGUUCCCCUCCCCACUUGCCAAGGUACCACUUUCUGUCCAGAGGGUACUGCUGGAGUCGGAUGGUGGCCAUUGGCUCAUUCCCAAUCACAGAAAAAUGAGAGCCCAUUCCUUCCACGUAACUCCAAAACAGUUGAAUCGUUUGACCGAAGAAGCUAAACUGGCAAAGCCCUUUGAAGUCAUCUCGGCAGUGAUAUGGAAGUCUUUGGCCAAGACAAGUGGCAAAGCAGAAGAGCCUAAAGUUGUGACAUUAAUCUCUAGCACUUGGGAUAAAGAAAAUGGACUGCCGAGCAAUUCUCGAGUCAUCAUUAGCACAAUUGAAGCGGCUGAGGCUCCGCCUGCACAGGCUGAUUUAGCAGACUUGGCCAGGCUGAUUGCUCGGAAACAGGAGGACGAGACCCAUUUAGUUGAACGAGUGAUGUAUCAGAAGGGCAGUGAUGAUGGAGAGUCUCGCGACUUUAUCUUAUACGGCGCCCGUCUCACCUUUGUAAAUUUGGAGAAGAUGAAUAUUUACGGGCUGAAAAUGAGCGGCCAUCAUCAACCAGUUUUUGCAAGUUAUUCUGUAAGUGGGGUUGGGGAUGAAGGUGCAGUUUUGGUGCUGCCGGGACCUCCUCCUGGGACUGAGAGUGGCAAAGAUGAAGGGGAAGGGUAAUAAAUUUGAUUCUGCCCGAAAAUCAACUCGACGAACUCAAGUAUCGACUUGGAAGCGAGUGGGGUAUACAUUAAUCAGCUGAAAACCUGGACAAAUCCUUGGUUGGCUGGAGAUGGAAGUUGCUGAAUAUUUGAUCGUUCAUUUGUCAAACGAACGCGUUUCAUCUCUCGGUUUCUUGUUGUGUGUUCCAUCUCCUUCAGUUAAAGGGAAGCUAAUGCUGCAAAGAAAAAAAAUAUGGCCCUUGCUCCUUCGGGUCUUGGACCUACAGCUCGCCUCUCAAAAAGAAACGCGGAGCUGAUGUCCAGGAAGCGGCUUCACCAGGCAUAUACACAGGUGUUCGUGUUUCUGCUGGUUCUGAUCAGCCAUGUAGUGCCUAUCGUGCUAAUGUUGGAACCAGCCAGUGUCCACCUCCUAAACAAAGUUCUUUUGCUGAUCCUGCCAAUGUUACUUUGGGUGGUCAUCGAGCAUCUUUACCAGGUUCUGUAUCCAUUGAGUUGUUGUUUCUUCUGUCUGGUGUUUCGGCUCUCAUACAAUUGCCUGCGUGACAACGCCAUCCACUAACGAAAAUCCACUUACCAAUUCAAAUUCUCUCCUGCUGAAAAAGUUACCCCGAACACGCGAAUGCUUCCAAACAUUCCUUUUUUCUAACCUCAAUGCCUUCGUACUCACUCCUAACGAGCUACCAAAGUGCAUGUCAAAGGUUAUAGGACAAAAAAAUACAAAUGUGCUUACAUUUGCAAUAUAUAUUCUGUAACCCUGUUAAGAAUUCAAAACAAGCACGGUCAGCUAAAUAAUUUCUCUGUACAACAAAUCUAUUUUUAAACAAAUGCUUACUGUCCUCUCAA